rnacentral:rRNA from 1 species
AUGAAAUAUGAUCCUGCUUAUGCUACUUCACCUACCUUUAUUACUGAUAAGGAUUAUGAAUUCUCUGUCGACCCUAAGAUAAUUACUUUAGUUGAAUCUGAGCCUUUCUAUGGCUAUGAAUCUGAAACUGUUAUGGCACAUCUUACUAAAUUAAAUGAUAUAACCACCCUGUUCACUAAUGAUGAGAAAACUCUCUACUAUUAUAUCCUUAAAUUAUUUCCGUUCUCAUUAAAGGGUGAUGCUAAGAUAUGGUUUAAUUCUCUUGAUCCUGGUUGUGUGCAUAGUCCCCAGGAUAUGAUUUAUUACUUCUCUGCUAAAUACUUCCCCGCUCAUAAGAAACAAGCUGCUUUAAGGGAAAUAUAUAAUUUUGUGCAAAUUGAAGAAGAGAGUCUCCCACAAGCUUGGGGGAGGCUUCUCCAGUUACUUAAUGCUUUGCAUGAUCAUCCCCUUAAGAAAAAUGAAAUACUUGAUGUCUUUUAUAAUGGACUAACCGAUGCUUCCAGAGACCACCUGGAUAGAACACCAGAUGAAGCUGAAAUUCUAUUUAAUAAUAUGUUGACUAAUGAAAAUAAUUGGACACUUCCUGAUCCAAUUCCUGAACCAACUCCAAAGCCAACUCCGAAGAAAAGGGGUAUUCUAUUUCUCAGUCCUGAAGAUAUGCAAGAGGCAAAGAAAUCUAUGAAAGAAAAAGGUAUAAAAGCUGAAGAUGUUAAGAAUUUACCUCCUAUUGAAGAAAUACAUGGUCUUAAUUACCGCGCGGUGAAGAAAUACAUGGUUUUAAUCCAUCACCUAUUGAAGAAACUCACGGUCUUGAUAACCUGA